UCUAAUAUGGCAGAUUAGUGCAAUAAACUUAAGAUUUAUAAAUAAAGUCAAACUUUUUUUAGAA
rnacentral:tRNA from 1 species